rnacentral:rRNA from 1 species
GACGAACGCUGGCGGCGUGCUUAACACAUGCAAGUCGAACGGAAAGGCCCUGCUUUUGUGGGGUGCUCGAGUGGCGAACGGGUGAGUAACACGUGAGUAACCUGCCCUUGACUUUGGGAUAACUUCAGGAAACUGGGGCUAAUACCGGAUAGGAGCUCCUGCUGCAUGGUGGGGGUUGGAAAGUUUCGGCGGUUGGGGAUGGACUCGCGGCUUAUCAGCUUGUUGGUGGGGUAGUGGCUUACCAAGGCUUUGACGGGUAGCCGGCCUGAGAGGGUGACCGGCCACAUGGGGACUGAGAGACGGCGCAGACGCCUACGGGAGGCAGCAGUGGGGAAUAUUGCACAAUGGGCGGAAGCCGGAUGCAGCAACGCCGCGGGCGGGAUGACGGCCUUCGGGUUGUAAACCGCUUUCGCCUGUGACGAAGCGUGAGUGACGGUAAUGGGUAAAGAAGCACCGGCUAACUACGUG